rnacentral:rRNA from 1 species
CAUGGCUCAGAUUGAACGCUGGCGGGGGUCUUGCAUGCAAGUCGGGCAGCAGCACGGACUUCGGUCUGGUGGCGAGUGGCGGGCGGGUGGUAAUGUCGGAACGUGCCUAGUAGCGGGGGAUAACUACGCGAAAGCGUAACUAAUACCGCAUACGCCCUUCGGGGAAAGCGGGGGGACCUUCCGGGCCCUCGCACUAUUAGGAAACGGCCGAUAUCGGAUUAGCUUCGUUGGUGGGGUAACGGCUCGCCAAGGCGACGAUCCGUAGCUGGUUUGAGGACGAUAAUGCCUGGGACUGAGACACGGCCCAGACUCCUACAGGAGGCAGCAGUGGGGAAUUUUGGUAAUGGGGGGAAACCCUGAUCCAGCCAUCCGCGUGUCUGAUGAAGGCCUUCGGGUUGUAAAGCACUUUUGGCAGAAAGAAACGGCACGGGAUAAUACCCCGUGCAACUGACGGUACUGCAAAGAUAACCUGGCUAACUACGUGCCAGCAGCCGCGGUAAUACGUAGGGUGCAAGCGUUAAUCGGAAUUACUGGGCCAAAAUUGCUGAGCGGUUCGGAAAAGAAAGAUAUUGAAAUCCCAGAGCGCUUUGGAACUGCAUUUUCUUCACCGAGCUAGAAGUGGCUUGUCAGAGGGAGGUGGAAUUCGCGAUGUAGCAGUGAAAUGCGUAGAUAUGCGGAGGAGGAACACCGAUGGCGAAGGCAGCCUCCUGGGAUAACACUGACGCUCAUGUUACCCGAAAAAUGGGGAGCAAACGGGAUUAGAUGCCCUGGUAGUCCGCCCUAAACGAUGUCAACUAGCUGUUGGGGCCUUCGGGGCCUUGGUAACGCAAUAACGUGAAGUUGACCGCCUCAAGGGAAGUACGGUCGCAAGAUUAAAACUCAAAGAAUUGACGGGGACACACAAGGCGAAUUGAGAUGAUGUGGAUUAAUUCGAUGCAACGCGAAAACCUUCUACUUGACAUGUCUGAUCCAAAAUUUGGGAGUGCUCGCAAAGAGAACCGGAACACAGGUGCUGCAUGGCUGUCGUCAGCUCGUGUCGUGAGAUGUUGGGUUAAGUCGCAACGAGCGCAACCCUUGUCAUUGGAUUUGCCGAAGGCACUCUAAUAAUGAGACUGCCGGUGACAAACCGGAGGAGGAAGGUGGGGAUGACGUCAAGUCCUCAUGGCCCUUAUGGUGGGGCUUCACACGUCAUACAAUGGUCGGGACAGAGGGUCGCCCUUCCACGAGAGAACCCAAUCCCAGAAACCCGAUCGUAGUCCGGAUCGCAGUCUGCAACUCGACUGCGAAGUCGGAAUCGCUAGUAAUCGCGGAUCAGCAUGUCGCGGUGAAUACAUUCCCGGGUCUUGUACACGCAUACAUCACACCAUGGGAGUGGGUUUUACCGUCAGUUAGCCUAACCGCAGAAGGCGAUUACACGGUAAGUUGACUGGGGUGAAGUGUAGUCGGGCG